AGUCAGGGGGAAAUCUUUCUUCGGAGAGAGAGUAUACCGGCGAACGGGUGAGUAACGCGUAGGUAACCUACCCUAUACUCGGGGAUAACACAGAGAAAUUUGUGCUAACACCCGAUGAGGCAAUUUAUUGUCAAAGAUUUACGGUAUAGGAUGGGCCUGCGUCUGAUUAGCUAGUUGGUAAGGUAAUGGCUUACCAAGGCUACGAUCAGUAGCUGGUUUGAGAGGAUGAUCAGCCACACUGGAACUGAGACACGGUCCAGACUCCUACGGGAGGCAGCAGUGAGGAAUUUUGCACAAUGGGGGAAACCCUGAUGCAGCGACGCCGCGUGUACGAUGAAGGGGCUCUGCUCUGUAAAGUACUGUCAGUAGUGAAAAGAAGAGGGGUUGCCCCUCUGGGAUUGUAGCUACAAAGGAAGGACCGGCUAACUACGUGCCAGCAGCCGCGGUAAUACGUAGGGUCCGAGCGUUGUCCGGAAUCACUGGGUGUAAAGGGUCCGCAGGCGGGUCUGUACGUCGAAGGUUAAAGACCACGGCUCAACCGUGGGAGUGCCUUCGAUACGGCAGAUCUUGAGUGUGAGAGAGGUAGGUAGAAUUCCUGGUGUAGCAGUGAAAUGCGUAGAUAUCAGGAGGAAUACCGGUGGCGAAGGCGGCCUACUGGCUCAUCACUGACGCUCAUGGACGAAAGUGUGGGUAGCGAACAGGAUUAGAUACCCUGGUAGUCCACACCCUAAACGAUGUAUGCUUGGUGUUAGAACGCAAGUUCUAGUGCCGGAGGUAACCCGUUAAGCAUACCACCUGGGGAGUACGAUCGCAAGGUUGAAACUCAAAGGAAUUGACGGGGGCCCG
rnacentral:rRNA from 1 species